GAGAAAUUUGCCAUGUCGGCAACACUGACAGUCCGUCCCUUCAGGCCUCCCUCCAAAGCCACUCUCCCACAAUUAUCAUAAUUAAGGUAAACAAGGAACAUGACUAUUGUUAGUACCCACAGCUGUCAAGCUAGCAGCUUGUGGCAGACUCCG